ensembl:lncRNA
GACCCAGGCACCUGGAGGCUGAAGAACAUGUGCCAACAUGCUUCCAUAGUUGGGGCUGUUGAGAAGCCUUUGCCUGGUGUUUAUUGUUACCCAGCUCUCGCCUGUUAUAAGAAGAAGCCCUCGAAUGGAGCCACCCUGAGAGAACAGUCUCAGCAUGUUCUGAGCUCAAAGCAUAUGCUGAAAGAUGAAAAUCCUAAUUGCAGACUGAUGUGCCCAUGGUGUUUUGUGUAAGUGAAUCACUUGGCAAUACAAAGCAUAUUCCUGACAUUUUAAUAGAAGCCCUCAACACAUCAAUGACAUGAAAAAGACCAUCAUAUAAAAACAAUUCUGCUUUAUCGAUUCU